UACGAAGGGGCUAGCGUUGCUCGGAAUCACUGGGCGUAAAGGGUGCGUAGGCGGUUUGGUAAGUCUUAUGUGAAAUCUACAGGCUCAACUUGUAGUCUGCAUGAGAAACUGCCGGGCUUGAGUAUGGGAGAGGUGAGUGGAAUUCCUGGUGUAGCGGUGAAAUGCGUAGAUAUCAGGAGGAACACCUGUGGCGAAAGCGGCUCACUGGACCAUGAACUGACGCUGAUGCACGAAAGCUAGGGGAGCAAACAGG
rnacentral:rRNA from 1 species